GAUGAACGCUGGCGGCGUGCCUAAUACAUGCAAGUCGAGCGAACGGACGAGAAGCUUGCUUCUCUGAUGUUAGCGGCGGACGGGUGAGUAACACGUGGAUAACCUACCUAUAAGACUGGGAUAACUUCGGGAAACCGGGGCUAAUACCGGAUGAUAUUUUGAACCGCAUGGUUCAAAAGUGAAAGACGGUCUUGCUGUCACUUAUAGAUGGAUCCGCGCUGCAUUAGCUAGUUGGUAAGGUAACGGCUUACCAAGGCAACGAUGCAUAGCCGACCUGAGAGGGUGAUCGCCCACACUGGAACUGAGACACGGUCCAGACUCCUACGGGAGGCAGCAGUAGGGAAUCUUCCGCAAUGGGCGAAAGCCUGACGGAGCAACGCCGCGUGAGUGAUGAAGGUCUUCGGAUCGUAAAACUCUGUUAUUAGGGAAGAACAUAUGUGUAAGUAACUGUGCACAUCUUGACGGUUCCUAAUCAGAAAGCCACGGCUAACUACGUG
rnacentral:rRNA from 1 species